AAUCAUAAACAAAAAAAGACCCCAACCCCAAGUAUGUUCGGCAAUGUCAUUUUCCCCUUAAGGUCUUAAGUCCAAUCACCCCAAAGUCCAACAACCCAAAAGUCUCUGUCUAUGAUGAGUGCAGUCAUGAAG